rnacentral:rRNA from 1 species
AUUGAACGCUGGCGGCAUGCCUUACACAUGCAAGUCGAACGGCAGCACGGGUGCUUGCACCUGGUGGCGAGUGGCGAACGGGUGAGUAAUACAUCGGAACAUGUCCUGUAGUGGGGGAUAGCCCGGCGAAAGUCGGAUUAAUACCGCAUACGAUCUACGGAUGAAAGCGGGGGACCUUCGGGCCUCGCGCUAUAGGGUUGGCCGAUGGCUGAUUAGCUAGUUGGUGGGGUAAAGGCCUACCAAGGCGACGAUCAGUAGCUGGUCUGAGAGGACGACCAGCCACACUGGGACUGAGACACGGCCCAGACUCCUACGGGAGGCAGCAGUGGGGAAUUUUGGACAAUGGGCGAAAGCCUGAUCCAGCAAUGCCGCGUGUGUGAAGAAGGCCUUCGGGUUGUAAAGCACUUUUGUCCGGAAAGAAAUCCUUGGCCCUAAUACGGUCGGGGGAUGACGGUACCGGAAGAAUAAGCACCGGCUAACUACGUG